CAGGGAAAGGCCCGGCAGCCCGCGGGCGUGAAAGGUGCCCCCACGCGGGAUGGACGGACAAAGGCCCGCCCCCCUUUCCGCAGUCCCCCCGUUUUCUUCACUGCCUCCCCCUGGCCAAGAACAUGGGUGGGAUUCGGGAUGGAGCUCCGAAUGGAGCAGAGGGAAGAGGUCUCCCAGCCUACGCGACAGAAUCUGCAGGAGCUGGCGCGCUUCCUCCUCCUCUUCUUCGGUCGCCGCCGCCGCCACCGCCUCCCCCCCAGCCGCCGGCCCCGCGCUCGGCUCCGCAGGCAAGGUAGCCAUGUUUUGCAACUUUGGGAAGUUCCUCCCUCCUUCUCCUCCUCCCUCGGGCUUUCCCCAGCCCCCUCCCCCGCCCGUCCCCCCCCCUCCGCCCUCCCCUUCGCGCUUCCCGAUCUUCAACCCCCCGCCGACCCCGCGUCUCCCCCAGCAGUGCCAGGCCCAGCUCUCCACUAGGGUCUCUGUCCCAGUGUCUGUGUGUGUGCCCGCCCCCCUCCCCGUCUGUCCGUGAUUCUCCUUUUGUUUUCCCUCCGCCUCAGGCCGCGCUUUUUCCUCCCCCCGCGUGUGCCUCAGGCUGAGGGCCUCAGUUUCCCCAUCGGGACAACGGAGAAGGUAACGGGCCGUCCGGGAAGGCUAAGGGCGCGAAGCCACCUCCGCCCGGAGACUAAGCUCCUGCACGCCUCCGUCUCCAGAGUCCUCUGAAGGCCCCCCCAUGCCCCAUCUCGGCCCGCGCUCCGCCCCUCGGAAUUCCCGGCUCCGCAGGGGGGCGGGUCCGGCAGGGAGAAGGGGCGGGGGAAACGGGUUAGAAAGUUUGCAGCAACUUUUCUUGAGCUAGUCGCUGGGACCGAGGCGCGUGGCCCGCGCAAGCGCAGUAGGAGGAGGUUGGCCGCGCGCGCGCGCGCGCGCGCGCGCAGCCGGCCCAACCCCCUUCUUGCCGGCCUGCGGGUGGCACAGCUGGGCCACAGCUGGGCAAGGGGCGGUGCCUCCGGGCGGCUCGCUAGCCACCUCCUAUUGGCCGGCUGCCGAAGCCACGCCUUUCAGCGUCCCCACCCCCACCCCCAGCCCGGAUUCGUCUGCUUGGCGGCCCUGUAGCUUCUUGCCAGGCCAUUGGGCGCCUCCACUCGCCUUCCAAUUGGCCCACUGAGCAGCCUCGUUCCCGCAACGCAAAGAGAGCGGACACCGCGGAGUCCAGAGCGUUGGGCAGACGGGAGGGCCUUUUAUUCGCGAGGAUCGGGGGUGGGGGUCCUAGGUGUGGAGAGACAAUAAAUACUGAGGAAUG